GUGGGGAAUCUUGCGCAAUGGGCGAAAGCCUGACGCAGCCAUGCCGCGUGAAUGAUGAAGGUCUUAGGAUUGUAAAAUUCUUUCACCGGGGACGAUAAUGACGGUACCCGGAGAAGAAGCUCCGGCUAACUUCGUGCCAGCAGCCGCGGUAAUACGAAGGGGGCUAGCGUUGCUCGGAAUUACUGGGCGUAAAGGGCGCGUAGGCGGACAGCUUAGUCAGAGGUGAAAGCCCAGGGCUCAACCUUGGAAUUGCCUUUGAUACUGGCUGUCUUGAGUUUGGGAGAGGUGAGUGGAACUCCGAGUGUAGAGGUGAAAUUCGUAGAUAUUCGGAAGAACACCAGUGGCGAAGGCGACUCACUGGCCCAAUACUGACGCUGAGGCGCGAAAGCGUGGGAGCAAACAGGAUUAGAUACCCGUGUAGUCC
rnacentral:rRNA from 1 species